AGUCAAGCCAACCAGGCUCCCUCAGCUAAUCUUCCCGUCAAGGCUGUUGUAGUUUCAUCAUAGCCAGUGAAACUCUGAAUUUGGACCUUAGAAGCCCAGUGUGGAGAUGCCAUCCCAAUUCUCCAAAUAGUUAUUAAGUUCAGUAUUUCUCACGUGAGCUGCUAUAGACUUAGAGGAAAUACAGAUUCAGAGUCCAUAUUCAAAUCUCACCCAAUGUGAAGAGGACUAGGCAGAAUUCUAUGUGAUGUCUGUGUGUCCAUUGUCCUUGGCCUUCCUGUUUUCUGUGAUUAUGAGAGUUUUUGUGCAUUUUCACCUUUGUGACUAGCAUCCAUUCUGAUCUCUUUUUAAUCUUCAAAGAGCUCAUCUUAUGGUUGGUUAGGAUCAAGUAUUCAGAAAUCAUCUGCUCCAGACGGAAUAUUUUCUUGGAGAUUCUACCCACAUGAUGACUGGUG